rnacentral:rRNA from 1 species
UACGGGGGGGGCAAGCGUUGUUCGGAAUUACUGGGCGUAAAGGGCUCGUAGGUGGCUAACUAAGUCAGACGUGAAAUCCCUCGGCUUAACCGGGGAACUGCAUCUGAUACUGGAUGGCUUGGAUUCGGGAGAGGAAUGCGGAAUUCCAGGUGUAGCGGUGAAAUGCGUAGAUAUCUGGAGGAACACCGGUGGCGAAGGCGGCAUUCUGGACCGAUAUUGACGCUGAGGAGCGAAAGCCAGGGGAGCAAACGGG